GAUAUUCAAUGCCGCACAGCUCCUCAGCGUGAACCUGGAGCUGCAGAACCGUCCGUUAUCAGAGGGGACAUAAUUGAAUUGAUACACAAGACUUUGGUGUUAUUCGAGUCACUUUCAACAAAUCAAUUGAGUGAAGCUAAGCCCACAAUGGGACAAAGAAAUAUGGAUGGUGUCUUUCAUUUAAAUCUUUUUCCGAUUUCAAUAUUUAAUUCGCUUUACUAAGUUUCCGAAAUCUUCAUUUUAGUCUACAUACUGCAAGUGUAAUUUAACUAAAUAUUGGCAAUACAUCCGGCAUAUACAGCAGUGAGCGCAACUACCAUUUGGUUUGACGUUUUGCUAUUAAGUUAGUUUGAGUAACUUAAAAGUAUGUUAAGUAACAGUAAAGCCGCUGAGCUUCACGUCAAGUCUACUGUUAAGUAGAAUUACCACUCAUAUUGAACCAAGUAGUUAGUAACAUAAUGAUUUCUACAAAACUCAAUAGAUGUCGUUAGGGUCUUGCAUGGGCCCUACGUUGGCAAUAAAUAUAUAAUAUUUUCUCACUUACAAAUAAAA